AGUUGCUCUAGAAGUCGGUGCGCCAACCUCGGAGGCAGCCGCCUAAAGAGUGACUGGUGACUGGGGUGAAGUCGUAACAAGGUAACCGUAGGGGAACCUGCGGUUGGAUCACCUCCUUU
rnacentral:rRNA from 1 species